UCGACGGCCUCGGCUCCACCCCACCCCCGCCUGUGUGACUCUUGACCACCACCUCUGCAACGAGGGCUACAAGGUAAGGCUCGUCGACUCCAACUCGGCCACCAUCAUGACCGACCAAUGCGGGCGUUAUGACCUGGAACUCGUUGAGCAGGUCAAAGAUCAAUGAUUGGACAUCUGAGCCGCCGCCGCAAAGAUGGCCCGAUGCCAUAACUUCACCGCCAUGAGUAGCACCUCCACUACCAGACCCUGCUUGCCCCUCAUUCCUCCUCGUCCUUGGCUUCGACACCGAUGCCAAGUGCAAGUGGGGCCGACCGCUUGCGCCCUAUCCUCUAAUCUUGCUUCGACCUUUACGUCCUCAACCUUUCUUCAGUGGCUUGGCGGCCCCCGGCUUGGUCUAUCGGAGGCGUAGCAGGUGUGAUGCUUGGUGGCGGCCAUCAAGACAGUAGGGGUUCGGCGGUUUGGGAUCGUCGGGAAUAACUACAGGGGUUUUGGGGCUUACCAAACGGCCACGAUGUUCCCAAAGACGGUGGAGCAAGUAGUGCUCGUCUCCGUCGAGUCUGCCUUGAGGAGUGUGACCUCGCGGCCAGCUUCAUUGUCGUCUCCAACAUCACCAAGGCCAUCAACAUCCUCC
rnacentral:lncRNA from 1 species